GUAGGGUGCGAGCGUUGUCCGGAAUUAUUGGGCGUAAAGGGCUCGUAGGCGGUUUGUCGCGUCGGGAGUGAAAUCAUCUGGCUUAACUGGGUGCUUGCUUUCGAUACGGGCAGACUAGAGGUAUGCAGGGGAGAACGGAAUUCCUGGUGUAGCGGUGAAAUGCGCAGAUAUCAGGAGGAACACCGGUGGCGAAGGCGGUUCUCUGGGCAUGAUCUGACGCUGAGGAGCGAAAGUGUGGGGAGCGAACAGGAUUAGAUACCCUGGUAGUCCACACCGUAAACGUUGGGCGCUAGGUGUGGGAUCCAUUCCACGGGUUCCGUGCCGCAGCUAACGCAUUAAGCGCCCCGCCUGGGGAGUACGGCCGCAAGGCUAAA
rnacentral:rRNA from 1 species